GAUGAACGCUGGCGGCGUGCCUAAUACAUGCAAGUCGAGCGAACGGACGAGAAGCUUGCUUCUCUGAUGUUAGCGGCGGACGGGUGAGUAACACGUGGAUAACCUACUUAUAAGACUGGGAUAACUUCGGGAAACCGCAGCUAAUACCGGAUAAUAUUUUGAACCGCAUGGAUCAAAAGUGAAGGACACUCUUGCUGUCUCUUUUAGAUGGUUCCGCGCUGCAUUAGCUAGUUGGUAAGGUAACGGCUUACCAAGGCAACGAUGCAUAGCUGACCUGAGAGGCUGAUCGGCCACACUGGAACUGAGACACGGUCCAGACUCCUACGGGAGGCAGCAGUAGGGAAUCUUCCGCAAUGGGCGAAAGCCUGACGGAGCAACGCCGCGUGAGUGAUGAAGGUCUUCGGAUCGUAAAACUCUGUUAUUGGGGAAGAACAUAAGUGUAAGUAACUGUGCACAUCUUGACGGUACCUAAUCAGAAAGCCACGGCUAACUUCGUG
rnacentral:rRNA from 1 species